GACGAACGCUGGCGGCGUGCCUAAUACAUGCAAGUCGAGCGAGCUUGCCUAGAUGAUUUUCGUGCUUGCACUAAAUGAAACUAGAUACAAGCGAGCGGCGGACGGGUGAGUAACACGUGGGUAACCUGCCCAAGAGACUGGGAUAACACCUGGAAACAGAUGCUAAUACCGGAUAACAACACUAGACGCAUGUCUAGAGUUUGAAAGAUGGUUCUGCUAUCACUCUUGGAUGGACCUGCGGUGCAUUAGCUAGUUGGUAAGGUAACGGCUUACCAAGGCAAUGAUGCAUAGCCGAGUUGAGAGACUGAUCGGCCACAUUGGGACUGAGACACGGCCCAAACUCCUACGGGAGGCAGCAGUAGGGAAUCUUCCACAAUGGACGAAAGUCUGAUGGAGCAACGCCGCGUGAGUGAAGAAGGGUUUCGGCUCGUAAAGCUCUGUUGGUAGUGAAGAAAGAUAGAGGUAGUAACUGGCCUUUAUUUGACGGUAAUUACUUAGAAAGUCACGGCUAACUACGUG
rnacentral:rRNA from 1 species